UGUGGUCAAGUUUCGAAGAGCAAAUGGUGGAUGCCUUGGCAGUUGGAGCCGAAGAAGGACGUAGCAAUCUGCGAUAAGCCUCGGGGAGCCGAUAAGCGGGCUUUGAUCCGAGGGUGUCCGAAUGGGGAAACCCCGGUCGGCGUAGCAAUACGACCGGCUGACUCCCGCCUGAAUAUAUAGGGCGGGUAGAGGGAACGCGGGGAAGUGAAACAUCUCAGUACCCGCAGGAAGAGAAAACAACAGUGAUUCCGUGAGUAGUGGCGAGCGAAACCGGAACAGGCUAAACCGAUCAUGUGUCAAGCCGGCAGGCGUUGCAUGGUCGGGGUUGUGGGAUCCUGACGCUGGACUGCCGUCCAGCACGUUGUAUGUUGCGCGAUGUAGACGAACGACAUUGAAUGGUCGAUCACAGAGGGUGGCAAUCCCGUAGUCGAAACGUCGCGCACGCGCGCAGAUCAUCCCAAGUAGCACGGGGCCCGAGAAAUCCCGUGUGAAUCAGCCAGGACCACCUGGUAAGCCUAAAUACUCCCAACUGACCGAUAGCGGACAAGUACCGUGAGGGAAAGGUGAAAAGUACCCCGGGAGGGGAGUGAAAUAGUACCUGAAACCAUUUGCUUACAAACCGUUGGAGGAGCCCUAGCAGCUCUGACAGCGUGCCUUUUGAAGAAUGAGCCUGCGAGUUAGUGAUAUGUGGCGAGGUUAACCCGUGAGGGGCAGCCGUAGCGAAAGCGAGUCCGAAUAGGGCGAAUGAGUCGCAUGUUCUAGACCCGAAGCGAAGUGAUCUAUCCAUGGCCAGGUUGAAGCGACGGUAAGACGUCGUGGAGGACCGAACCCACUUGGGUUGAAAACCGAGGGGAUGAGCUGUGGUUAGGGGUGAAAGGCCAAUCAAACUUCGUGAUAGCUGGUUCUCUCCGAAAUGCAUUUAGGUGCAGCGUUGCGUGUUUCUUGCCGGAGGUAGAGCUACUGGAUGGCCGAUGGGCCCUACAA
rnacentral:rRNA from 1 species